UACGUAGGUGACAAGCGUUAUCCGGAUUCACUGGGUUUAAAGGGUGCGUAGGUGGGCAGGUAAGUCAGUGGUGAAAUCUCCGGGCUUAACUCGGAAACUGCCAUUGAUACUAUCUGUCUUGAAUACCGUGGAGGUUAGCGGAAUAUGUCAUGUAGCGGUGAAAUGCUUAGAUAUGACAUAGAACACCAAUUGCGAAGGCAGCUGGCUACACGAAUAUUGACACUGAUGCACGAAAGCGUGGGGAUCAAACAGG
rnacentral:rRNA from 1 species